AAUCUGAAAGACUCACCUUUGACAUUCAUAAACAAUAUAAUAAUAUCAUCACUCACAUAACGAAAACCUUAAUAAUUAUCAAUCUGAGAUUACAUGCAUUGUUAUUUGUUAAACACCCUAUUUAACCAUAGGCUUAAACGAGGUGAGACUCUUGAAAUGCUCCCAUGGCUUCUCCCAAACGACAGCUUCAAAUUUCUUGGUCGAAGGUCCGUCCUUGACGACCAAGAUCAGCCGGUAAUUGGUGCCGGAAACCACCUGAGUCUCGGCCUUCUCCACGCUCUCGAACUUCAACGCGCUCUUUGACCGUUUGUUGUACUCUGUCACCGCGAACUGCCCGAUCUCCAUCACGUGCUUCUCCGUGGGGUCUAUCGGAGUCCAUCCCCCAAAUAUAGGCUUAAACGAUGUGAGACUCUUGAAAUGCUCCCAUGGCUUCUCCCAAACGACAGCUUCAAAUUUCUUGGUCGAAGGUCCGUCCUUGACGACCAAGAUCAGCCGGUAAUUGGUGCCGGAAACCACCUGAGUCUCGGCCUUCUCCACGCUCUCGAACUUCAACGCGCUCUUUGACCGUUUGUUGUACUCUGUCACCGCGAACUGCCCGAUCUCCAUCACGUGCUUCUCCGUGGGGUCUAUCGGAGUCCAUCCCCCAAACAUAGGCUUAAACGAGGUGAGACUCUUGAAAUGCUCCCAUGGCUUCUCCCAAACGACAACUAACAAUUUCUUGGUCGAAGGUUCGUCCUUGACGACCAAGAUCAGCCGGUAAUUGGUGCCGGAAACCACCUGAGUCCAGGCCUUCUCCACGCUCUCGAACUUCAACGCGCUCUUUGACCGUUUGUUGUACUCUGUCACCGCGAACUGCCCGAUCUCCAUCACGUGCUUCUCCGUGGGGUCUAUCGGAGUCCAUCCCCCAAGCAUAGGCUUAAACGAGGUGAGACUCUUGAAAUGCUCCCAUGGCUUCUCCCAAACGACAGCUUCAAAUUUCUUGGUCGAAGGUCCGUCCUUGACGACCAAGAUCAGCCGGUAAUUGGUGCCGGAAACCACCUGAGUCUCGCCCUUCUCCACGCUCUCGAACUUCAACGCGCUCUUUGACUGUUUGUUGUACUCCGUCACCGCGAACUGCCCGAUCUCCAUCACGUGCUUCUCCUUGGGGUCCUCUAUCGGCUUCCAUCCCCCAACCAACGCUCCUUUACGGUCGCCGGCGGCCAGGAGAGGGACCACGGAGAGAAAGAGAACAAUAAGACAGCAAAAACGUUGAUUCAUUUUCGUUGUUUUGGUAACCGUUCACACCAAAGUCCGUGACUUCCGGUUCUUGAGUGAAUACUUCGCCUUGGCCCCUGGUUUUGGAUUUUAUACGCGGCGAGUUUUAGUGCACCGACACGUCUGUACGCUUUGUCUGAUUUGAAAAGGAGGUACACGUGACAGUCAGUGGUGUGAUUUCUGUGGUCUUAUCAUAUACGUGGCGGUUUACGAAAUGGGGCCCGCAUUCUUGGCGUGGCAGGAUGUGAAUACUGAGUGGGAAGGAGAAUGUAUGUGCUUUAGCACACCUGAGCAUUUACCACUGGAGAGUGAUACUGACGCAGGCAAAUAAUAAAAUAAUAAUAUCUAAUUGGGUGAGACUGAUUUCUUCUCUACACUACACCUUUUUUUUUAAUUAAAAAAAUAUAUAUUUUUUUAAAUUACUUAAUUAAUAUUUUUUCUUUGUCUAGAGAAGUGAUACUGACGCAGGCAAAUAAUAAAAUAAUAAUAUCUAAUUGGGUGAGACUGAUUUCUUCUCUAGACUACACCUUUUUUUUUAAUUAAAAAAAAAUAUUUUUUAAAAUUACUUAAUUAAUAUUUUUUCUUUGUCUAGAGAAGUGAUACUGACGCAGGCAAAUAAUAAAAUAAUAAUAUCUAAUUGGGUGAGACUGAUUUCUUCUCUAGACUACACCCUUUUUUUAAUUAAAAAAAUAAAUUUUUUUUAAAAUUACUUAAUUAAUAUUUUUUCUUUGUCUUUUUAAUUUUAUAAUUUUUAAUCAAUUCACUGAAAUAUGUUUUUCUAUUUAUAAAUAAAAAGAACAAAAUCUACUAUUUAAAAAUAACAUUAAUAAACUUUUUUCGUUAUUAAAAUUAAUGAAUAUCAAUAAAUUAAUUUUUAUCAAAUACAAAAAUUAAUAAAUAUUAAAAAAAAUUCGUAUAUAAAAAAUAUAAAAUAGAGCUCAUAAUAUAUUAAAAAAGGGUAAAACCAUGAAUUAAUUGUUUAGUUUAUAAAAUAUAAGAAGGUAGGAAGAAUAUCCAUUGUAAAAUUAAAAUGAAAAAAAGAAAGAGAUAAGUAAUUUUAAAUUUUUAAAUUUUUAAAAAUAAAUUUGUUUUGUAAAAUAAAAAAAAAAUUAAUGAAUUUAAACAACCUUAUCCUAUCCUAUUUAAUUUAGGUAGCCCCACCAUAACUAAUUAGACAGCAGAGAUAAGAAAAUUACGUGAACUUUAAAUGUGAUACUUUCUUCUGGAACAUUACAGAAUUUCCAACUAUGAAUCUUUCGAUUUUUUUUCUUUUUUUACUUUUAGUCAAAAUAAAUUAUCAUUAUUAUUAUAAUUAUUUUAUCGACAACUAUUAAUAAAAGCCCAGGAUAUUAAAUUCGAGUGAUGGAUAAAUAAAAAAUUGUAUUUUCUUCCUUCUCCAUCCCCGAUGCGCCGUGCUCAAUUUCUUCCUUCUCCAUGCAUGCUCAACGGCAUAGGGAUUGCCACUUAGGCUUGUAGUUUAGUAGUGAAUCAUUAUUUUUAAAGUUAAGUAUAAUUAUGAGGGUAAUUAUUUGAGUUCUUAUGGACUCAAUUUUUCUCAAUUAAAUAUAAUUAAGUGAAGACUUCUUAUAACGUCUUUCUCCUUUGGGAAAUGUGAGUGGAGUAGAAACAUCUUCCUCUGUGAGAGAUAUUUGGUUGGGUUUGUACUUUAUAGAAUAAAAAUAUAAUAAUAUAAGUCUCAUAUAUAUAUUUAAUUAUAAAUAUUAGUGUAAUGACUGACUGUCAUAACAAUUAUAUAUAUCUCUGUGUGUAAUACAGUAAUAUGAUGCUUAUUUGGUUAAAAAAAAAAAAAAAAACAGCAUAGAGGUUGUUCACUUUUCCCCUCCCUCACAAAGGACACAUAGCCAAUGGCAAGGCCGAAGCGAACACAACCACCAACAGUGCCAGUUCUCGCUGGAAAUAUGAGGCAGGAGGGUGAUGCAAGUUUGGGAGGCUGCUGGCGGGACGAAGAGCCGUGGCCUGCAGCUGAUCGACGCGGCGUGGACGAUGGUGACUAGCGGCUGCAAAAUCAUAACCCUGAAAUUUUAGGGCUUCCUAUUUGUUUUGGUUUGGGUGGUUUUUCAUAAUUUAUUAUCAAAUAAAUUAUUUUGAUUGAGUUAAAAAUAAAUAAAUAAAAAAUUGAAAGUUGAUGUUGUUUGUGAUGCUUUCAAAGCAAGUGUAUGGUGCUAUUGCUAUGGAUACUGGGACAGGCAAUGAUGCUGGAGUUUGAAGAAAAUUGAGUCCCAAAGAAACAAGAAGCGGUGAUGGUUGCUGAUAGACGCGGCAAAAUUUAUCGAUCCUUACGAGGGUGACAAAAAAGUAACCGUAGAAUUUAAGACACGCAUUCGACUAGUAACGCGCAAGAUGAGCACACAGGAAAGCACGCUCCUCUCACAAAUACACAAGCAAGCAUUCGCAUUUCAGCCACCCUACUGUUCUCAGUGACUCUCGGAUGACACUCUCAUGCAUUUCACGGCAUUCAUCGCCCUGAAACCUUGGACAAAGAAGGAAGUUGGUUAUUAUUCGUAAUUUCAGACAACGGUGAUACAAUUUAAUCUUAUUACACACAUUAAAAUUUUUAUAAACUAAUAUUGCCGGCACUAGCAAAAAAAAAUUUAUUUUUGUAAAGUUAAUAAAUGAAUAGUCUACUAAUUUAUUGAUAAAUAAAUAUUUAAUAAUUUACAGAGAGAUUUUUUUUAAUAAAAAAAAGAACAACCAUUACGGAUUGUUUUGGUCAUUGCAAGUUCCGGUUAGGCCAAGGUACGGUUAUUUGACAACAAGUUGGUGAAGACGAAGGCAUUCAUGAACUAGAUGAAGUUAUUUUUGGUCUACACUACAAAAAUAUGAUAGAUAUUGAGAGCCUUUUGAAUUAUCGGAGUGAAAAUGAUACACUGAUGGAAUCAUCUAUUGACGAAGAGAUUAUUCAAGUAUAGUGGAUUUCUCUAGUGAUGAUGAUUAAUGAUGAUGAUCAAUAAGAUAGUUUUGUUUUACAAAAUGUUUUCGCAAAAAGGCAUUUCAAGCAAUAGUAGCCUUAAAUAAUUACUUUUAACACACAAAAAAAAAGAAUACCAAGUUUACACAAAAAAAAAAAAAAAACAAGACUAAGUUCAAUUUAGGAACAAAUAAAAAAUCAAUAACUUUAGAUGUAGAUUUUGCAAAGAGUUGAAUGCAGAUAAUUGAAGUUGUUUAUAUUUUAUUUACUAUUAAUUUUUGUGUUUGAUUAAUUUUUAAUUUAUAUUUUCAUUAGGCCCUAAAAGAUUUAAAAAUAUUAUUAUCUUAUGCAUUAGACAAAUUAUUAAUUUAAUAAACUAGCCUAAAUCAGAGAAUCAAGAUUAUUAACUUAUCAAAUAUUUAUUUAUCGUAAAUUUACUGUAUUGUAAUUAAGAAUUUUUCACAAGGGAUAAUGAUCGAUUAUUUGCUGGCGAGAGCUCUCUGAGAACCUUUUUCUUUUUAAAUAAAUAUUGUUUUCCAUAAAAUCGUAUAAAAGCAAGUGCCACCUAGCUACAUCUAAUAAAUAAAUAAAUUUAUCCAACUUUGUUUAUUGCAGACCUUAUUUUUUACAUAUUAAAUGCUAGUGACGAGGCAUCGUGGAAGGAAUUCACUGACAAUUCAGUAUGCUGCGGAUAAUGCAUGUAUAAAUUUUUAGGGGCGCGUAAAUCAGUUUCCGUUCAAACUACAACACAUUCAAUUUAGAGUAUUAGGAUUGGAUUCAAAUGGUGAACUCAAUCUAAACCAAACUGAAUUUAAUUCGAUUAAAUUCAUAUUACAAAUUUAGGCUACAAGAGUUUCAAUCACUACCUCGUAAAACAAGUCAAACAUAUGGAAAAAAAAAAUCAAUAAAAAUCACAUAUCUAAGUCACUCCAAUCUCACAUUCAAAAUCUCAGGACCCAGUUUUCAAGAUUCAAUUUUGAGUCCCUUUCCAUAAGUAUCGCAAGUUUCGUACAUCAAUUAACAUUCAUUUUAGUUUUCUCAUGAAUGUGAUUGAAUGAUUUACUCUUGCUAUGGAUCAUGAGAUGUGAUUGAAGAAGUUCUUAAAUCUAUUUAUUAGUAUAGGGUUAGUAUACAUUAUUAGAUGAAUGAUUUAUCUUUAAUGUCAUGUGGUUGUCAAUGAAUGGUUAACUCCUUAUUUAUUAUGAUCUAUUGAUUGUAACUUAUUUUCACUUAUAACUCACCAUAUUUAAAGUCUUAGAGUAUAGCUCUAGAUAACUAGAGCUAGACUUUUUUCAACUUACUCAUAUUGAUUGUCACUCAAGAGAUGUAAACAUAAACAAAUUAUCAACAUGAGAAUAUCUUAAUAAGAUCACAUACUUAAGGGAUUGAGAACUCCUCUCCUAUAAAAUCUAUGUAUAUCACCAAGAGUUAUCGCUAUGUUUUAUUGUCACAAUCAACAAGCUAAGUAUACUUCAAAAUUAAAAUUGCCUAAGCUCUAUAUAGCUCAUAAUUGAAUCGCCGAGCUCAGUUAUAAAUUGCGAGAGCUAAUUGAGUGCAACUCAAUUACCAUCGCCACAACUGAGUAUAGCUCAGUAUUGAAAUCACUACAACUGGCAAAUUGUAGCUCAGUUAUCUCUUACUACAGCUUUGUACAUCAUAGUUAUGAAUUGCUAGAGCUAAGUUUAACUUAGUUUGAAAUCAUUAGAGCUGUGAGAAAGCUCAACUACAGACUCCAAAAUAACUUAGAAGUUUACUAAUUAACAAAAGGCGACUCAGCAGCGAGUUGCCACAUGUCACCCCCACAACAUUUUCUCUUAAGUUUCUUGUGCGUUAAUUAUUUCAACACAAGAAACUAGAUGGAUCUUGUUUUGGGUAAAUUUAGGACAUUAUUUUAGAAAAAUAGGCAAGUACAUGCGGCAGUAGAGAAUAAACGAGAAGAAAAGUUAACACUUUUAAGUGAAUAAGGGAUAGCUCAAGACAAGUUAGAGGUAAUCUUUGAAAGAGAGAGAGGAUAACUCCAGGAAAUUUGCCCAGUUUAAAAGUGAAAGUGGAAUUAAAAAAUGAUAAUUGGAGCCCUCACGUGUGGGCUGCAUGCCAUCAGAAAAAGGGUUAAAUAUCUUGUCUAUUAUGCUAAAAACAAGAGACCAAUAGCAGAAUAAUUAGCUGACAUAGCAAUGAGGAAAGGACAUGUUAGCACUGCUUAAUUAUCCCUUAAAAAAUAGUAGGAUCACUGCACCAGCUUCUGCCACGUGGCAAAGAGCAAUGACCACAUGAAGGUUAAAGGAAUGAAUUAUUCACCAAACUUACUUGGUCACUAUUUGAGGAAGGCAGCACCAAUAGAAAAUCUCCGUAUGAUAGAAAAGAUAAAAAUGUCCCUAGGGCGUUUAUCCUAGAAAUUUAACUCAGGACAAGAUAAUAGACUUUUUCUCCAUAUUUGAUUUUUUGAGAGGCUACUUCAUGUUCUUCUUCCUGCAAUUUUAGGAUUUUUUAUUUCAUUUUUAUACCUCCAUGGAAGAUUUCAGUGAUCUCAUCUCUUAAAGAAACUUUUUCAUUAUUUUUUUCUUAGAAAACUAUCUAAUCUUCAUAAGACCCACAUCUUCCUCAUGUUAUUAUUCAUCCUAAACAAACUUUAAUAAGAUUUUGUUAAUAUUAUAAAUAAAUAAAUAUAUAUAUAGGACAGUUAUUAUUCAAUCUGAAAGUCCUGGAUUGGAUCAUUGUCUGGGAAUCCACUGGGAAUCCAACGACCCCUGGUGUCUUUUUUUUUUAAUUUGUUGCUGCACAUGGUGGGGCCCACCAUGUGCAGCCACUAGGCUUUGUCCCAAAAACUGUUUCACAAUUUCCUAUAUAUAUAUAUGUAAUACUUUUUUUAUUUAUUAGAUUGGAAAUAAAUUACUCCCGUGGAUAUAAGCCUAAUGACGAAUCAUGUAAAAUCUUAUAUGCUCUUUAUGAUUUACGUGUAUUUCCUACUUAUUACAAUGGUUUUAAACUUCAUAUAUGAGCUAACAUGAGAUAUACUGAUAAGUUCUCUAGAAUUAUCUCUUGAUUGCACCUAGGGUGCCAUUAAGCUCUCUUAAGCUUGCCAUAUCAACGCUCUAUGCUAACUCCAACGAGCUUUAUUGAGUUAUCUAAGUUAUUCCAAAUUCAAAAUAUUUUAGUUCACCUUUGAGAUCACAUCAGCUAUAUCUUUUGCCCCAAAUGUUAAAAAAAACAAAAAAACCUAUCUCUGCUAGCCCAAUCUCUCCAUAAAUAUAAAUUUAUUUAUUUAAAUCAAAUUUGACUUUGAUCUGGUAAGAACAACCAAUAAAUAAUUCAAAUCAAAUUUUAGUCAAAAUCUGGUGAGAACUUGAAUAUUUUUAUAUACAUAUACCUUCUUUUAUAUGAUGUUGUCUUGAAGCUGAAGCUAGGUUAGCAGAAGUAGUAGUACUAGUACUAGUGCUUCUCAUGGGCGGAUAGAAAAUGCAGAAAUUAUAUUUUGAACUAUAUAUGUUCAAUAAAAGGGAAAAAACUCAAUAUGGUGUGCUAACCACUAAGGGAAGCAUUCAUUAGGCACGCAAAUAUACAAUAGGCGUCUUUUCUUAUAGGAAAAGCAUCAAUUUUUAUCAUCAUCUCAUCAAACACUAGCAUUGCUAUAAUUCCUAUUCAGGGUCCCCCAAUGCCUGUUACGGAGACUUGAUUGAGAGAAACCUCCACAGUUUACAAGAGUUUGCAGCUACUGAACAUCCCCAUCUGUCCCAAAAACAUAAGCACCUGCAAUAUCCAAAAUUUGUCAAUACAUUUGUAUCAAGAAACAGUAAACAAUUAAUGUCGCGGUAAGAUUAUUUACCAAGUGUAGGCAUUAGAAAGGCCAGAGCAGCAAUGCCAGCAAUCUUAAGGGGCAGCCCUGUCUUGAUCAUAUCUUGAAUUUCGAUGUGCCCGGUUGUGAAUCCAACAAUAUUUGAAGGGGUUCCAGUCGGCAACAAGAAAGAAAAUUGUGCUCCAAUUGCUCCAGGAACCAUAAGAAGCAAUGGAUGAACAUGCAUAGUUUUUGCUAUUUGGAUCAGAAGUGGAAGAACGAGAGUUGUUGUGGCAUUAUUUGAUGUGAAUUCAGUAAUAAUCGCGCUAAUCAGACAUACGAUAGGUGCAAUGGCUAAAUAUGGCGCCGCCUCCAGGAAAUCCAAUGCUUUUGACAGAUCAUCAGCAAGACCGCUAGUCCUGACUCCAUCAGCUAUAGCAAAGCCAGCCCCUAAAAGCAAUAUAAUGUUCCAAGGUAGCUUCUUGCAUUUGUUCCAAUCCAUCAAUUUUUCUCCCUUUUGCUUCAUGCUCGGAAUUAUGAACAACAAUGUUGCCAUCACAACCUAUAUUUGUGUGUGUGUGUGUGUGUGUGUGUGUAUACAUAUGUAUUAAUAAUUCAGUUAAAAAUCAUCCAAAAGCUUGAUUAAACAUGUCUCAUUUAAUUAUGUUCUCAAAUGAUAAACAAAAGACCAAAGAGUACUCACACUAGCAGUUCCAUCACCAGCACGGUCAUUGAAGAGUGCUCCCCAACCUGGAAUGUCAUCUGUUAUUGAUCUUGUCAUCCACAAUGCUAUUAGCAUCUGCAUCAUUUAUCUUAAAUUAACUUGAAGACAUUUCCAAUAACAUUAUGCACAUCACUUAAAAGGGGAGAAAAAAAAAAAUUACAGCUCAGCUCACCCCAAAUACAGCUAGUACCAUCUUUUCAGCAAAAGCCAUUGGACCUGCCAAGAAAAACACCAAACAAUAGAAUUAAGCCACUGAACAUUAAUUAGCUGUAGCUGUCAUUAAUUGGACAGACAGCAGGGUCUUACCUAACAUGUCAAGCUCUCUCUUGAGAUUUGCUUUGUCCAAAUACUCGGAGAGAGCAGGUCCAGAUCCCCUUGAACAAUAGAACAAGCACAAAAUAGCCCACAAAGCAACGAAAAUCACUAAAGCCAAAGGGAACCCAAAACAGAACCAGGUACUGAAGCUGAUCGGGUUUGCUUCUGGAAAAUAGGUCUUCCACAUCCCGACCAAUAUUAGAUUAACACCUGUUCCAGUAAGUGUGCUCAUCCCUCCUACGGCUGCAGAGUAGAUGACCCCGAGCACCACAGCUUUGCAAUACUUCCUAACAAGGGUUGAUUGAAGAGGAACCUCUGGCAAGUUCUGUAAGAUCCCAGUGGCCACUGGCAUCAUGAUCACUGCUGCUGCCACGUUAUGCAUCCACAUGCUCACGAAUGCUGUCGUGCCACAUAUCCCAAGAAGCAGCAAGGGCGGAUUCAUUGGCUCUCCACAGAAUAGAAUAGUUAUCUGUAGUUAUUAAUAUAUAUAUGGUAUAGGAUUGUCCAUACAUAAUUAAUUCAUCUUUUGUCACUGAUAAUUUUUCUGAAAAAGAAAUCGUAACAAUUAAUGACAUGAUGAUGAUGAUGCAUUACGGGAACUUACAUUUAAGGCCAAUCUUUUGUGAAUGUUGUAGUGCUCAACGGCAAGAGCAAGAAUAAAGCUACCAAGAACGAGGGCAAUAACAUCAUCCAUGUAAGAAUGAGCAACGGUGUCAGCAGAAGAGAUACCAAACAGAGGAAACAGAAACAGAGGCGCCAUAGAGGUAAUGGGCAUGGGUACGGCCUCCGUGAGCCACCAAGCGAAGACCCAAGCAAGAACACCCAACAUGUUCCUGCUUGUCGCCUGCCCAUCGAGCUUCACACAUACACAUAUAACAGCGCACAGGAGAGGUCCUAGGAGGAUGUAGAAAUUGUUUGGUGUGAAAAUGGUUUUCAAUGUGAAGUGGGAGCUUGGUGACCGUUGGAUUUGACGAUGGGAAGGUAGGAGUGGCGCCUUGAUGUCACCAGAAUUUGGAUGAGCUUCGUGGUCACCGUUCAUU
rnacentral:lncRNA from 1 species